AUAAGACCACACCUUGAGCGCAGCCGCACUGGCGAAAACCGGAAGCUGCUUCUCGGACCGCAGAACCUGGGUGCAUCCUGGGAAUUGUGGUUCAGCCUGGGGCUCAAUGAAAGCUGUGCUGCGCGUCCAGGGACCAAGAGGAAACGCUCCACUGGCGCGCACAUAAAUUCCCUUCGUUUGUUUCCCUCCCACCGAUGAGGAAAGCGGUUUAGAUCAGAAGAAUCGGGGCCUUCCUAGUUGGGGGACGCUUUUCCCAGUCUCUGUGGAUACGGGUCACACACACCUUGGGCAGAAGCCAAAAUUUAGGGGUUUAAGCGAGAUCGAGUGUUUCUGCCAACGGCCAAUAUAUUGUUAGACGUCGUCUCUGAAAGCUUCGGAAAUAAAUCCGAAAGCAUUAGCCGAAUCUUUCCCAAAACAAAAGCGUUUGCCUGUUAAAUACUGUGUCCAUUUACCCAAAAUGAGUGAUUUUUUUUCUACAUGUGAGCUUUUAAUUGAGCUCUAACUUAGAAAACAAGAGCAGGUUUGGUUACGUACUUAUUCUGGAAGAAAAGGAAGUACAGUAUAGGAGCUGGCAUAGAAAAAUGUUUUCACAUUCAGUUCUAAGAGGAAUUUAUCAUACUCUGAAGAGGUCAUUGUCUUAAAUGUCAACACUCUUGCUAUUGACUAAAUGAAAUCCGUAGCUUUCAAGAACAUCUAUGCCCAUGGCUGUGCUUCCAUUGGACCACAGCAACAGAAAACAAAGGAUGCCCGAAGAAGCUUCACAGAAAAAGCUUCAUAUCAGUAUAAGACCUUGAGUCUGAUAUGCGCGGAAAAAAUAAAAAUGGAGAACUCUUCAACUUGGAAAUGUAAAUUCUAAGAAGUUAUUAAAGUUACUAAAAUCACACCAAAAAACAUGAAUAAUAUGGUCUUCACACAGGUAUUUGAGAGCUAAAGGCCACCCAGGUAAAAACAAACUUUUGAGAUUGAAAUCAAGGAAGACAUACACCUCCAUAACAAUCAGAAACAGAAUACAGUGCCUUUGAAUAGAAAACUUGAUCCAGUAUGCAAACUCACAUAGGGCAAAAAUGAGAACAAGAACCUGAGGCUUAAUAAGAGGUCUACUAAAGGAAGUGGAGCACCUUGGUGCUACAUCUUCUGCAGCACCAAGGAAAAAGUCCCUUUCACCCUGCUCCCCAUACUAGCCACCAGUGACCCAACAGUGCUCUGUGGCACAGCUAGUCUGAUGUAGUCACCUCCACAAUUAUCAGAUGUUGACAAGGCGAACGCAUCACUGGGUGAGUAACAUUCAUAAUCCAGUUGCAGAUAUCCCCGAAUGAGACUUCAGCGACACUACAAUAUUUUGCUGAAAUGAUGAUAUUGGACUUGGUCUAGGGACAGACUUAUCCUCCAUUGUGAUAUGCAAGCCAAUAGCCAAUGAGAAUUGGAGAUAUAUCUAAAGCAGCAAUUUUCAACAGUUACGCCAGAAGUAUUAUUAAAACAUGCAAUACCUGACUUUGGCAAGUCACUUUGGAGCAAAAAGGACAGCUCUUGGGACAUACAAAGCUGGAAGGUGGGCUGCACUUUGGCGAUUCCUGAUAUAGAGCAUGACAGGAUGGGGUCCUCCCAUGGUUCUCAGGGAUGUCAGCAUGAUCAACAUGUGAUUACUUCUUAACAUGCUCCCCCUGGGGCUGAUUCUGCUGCGGUGGCUCUAACCUCCACUCCUACCUCCAUUGACUAUCACUGCCGCAGCACAAUAAACAAUACAGGACUGUCAUCAUCCCUUCGCCAUUUUCAUUCCAAGUACUGCAAGCACUACCUACCAUUUCUGAGUGCUUGCUUUCAUUCUAUGCUCUCCUAACUAGCGUAGAAUCAUUAGCUCAUUUAUAGUUUACCAUAAUCUUGUGAAGCUGGCAGUAUUAUUUUCAUCGAAGAGCUGAGAAAACUGAGACCUAGAAAAAUGAAAUUCCAUUCUGGAGCCAAAGAGUUGGGACCCAAGCAUGAGGCCGCCCCGCUGACUUCAUGGUCUGCUUUAGCACCAGGACAGGGCACGGAGGUGCACAACUUUCUCAGAUUGAGGGUCUGGUCCUUUGGAUCAGGGACUCACACGAGGCUUCCAGGGCUGGCGCUCGAUAAGCCCAAUGUUUAUGAUUUCAAAACCACAUACAAUCAGAUGUACAAUGGUCUCCUUAGGAAAGACAAAGAACUCUGUAUGCAGAAUGGCAUUUUGCACAUGUGGGACAGAAGUAAGAGAAUCAAGCUCCAGUCAGAAAGGUUCCCGAACUGCAAACGUCUGCUCGACCUGAUCCUCACCCGUGAGCUGUGCCAGGACCUUCGGCACAUGGAGGACAUGGAGAACGAGAUGGCCAGCUGCUGCAGGAGUUCCAGGAGAAGGGCCAGCGGCCAGGGCCUGAAACCGCCGUCUUGCGCGUCCUCUUGUUACUGCUUGUUCCUUCCUGACCCUUUUUCUGACUCUGAGGGCUGCAGCCGGUGGAGCCCGCCCCCUACAUUUCUACAUCUAUGUAAAUUCCUUUUUGAUAUGUAGGCUAUUCAUCGGAAUCUUUCUUCUUAAUGCAUAAAAGAAAUGGCAAACUUACUUUCCACAGCAUUGGUGAUCUUGCUUCCCAGCAAUUGUCAUCAGCUUAGGUCAAAUAAAUUCUUAUAAAAAUUUCCUACAAGUUUGCAUAUUUCUUACAUAAAUAUUUCCUUGGUGCAGUUAACAAGACUCUGAAUGUUGCCCUAGCCGGUUUGGCUCAGUGGCUAGAGCAUCAGCCUUGAAGUAUCCCAAAUUUUAUUCCGGUCAAGGGCUUGAUCCCUGGCCCUGGGUAGGGUGCAUAUAGGAGGCAACCAAUCGAUGUAUAACUCUCACAUUGGUGUUUCUCUCUCUUUCUGUCUCUCCUCCUCCCUUCCACUCUCUAAAAAUCAAUAGGAAAAUAUCCUCCAGUGAGGAUUAAAAACAACCAAAAAGACUUUGUACGUUACUGGAAAGGGAAACUGACCCUUGGCAGGUCUGCCUAGCGCCAGUUGGUAGUAUGUGGGUUCUUGACUUUGUGCAGGAAAUAUUUCACAACACGAGUCCAGAUGAAUUUUAGAGGACGUUUAUUAAAACUGGGAACCGAAACAAUAAACAACUGGGGAAAUGAGCCUAGGCUGGUCUGCUUUGGCUCACUAAGAAGUCAGAGAACCCCACCUAGCAUGGCUCAGUGGUUGACGGUCCACCUAUAAACCAGGAGGUCACAGUUGAUUCCCGGUCAGGGCACAUAACUGGGUUGUGGACUUGACCCCCAGUGUGGGGCGUGCAAGAGGCAGCCGAUCAAUGAUUCUCAUUAUUGAUGUUUCUAUCUCUCUUUCCCUCUCCCUUCCUCUCUGGAACUAAUAAAAAUAUUUUUAAAAAGAAAGAUUUUAAAAAGUCAGAGAAAAGGGGCUUUAGGUGACUUAGGGAGUUUGCCCGGGAUGAACUGCUGCUGCCCAUUGCUCCUC